AUACGUAGGGUGCAAGCGUUAAUCGGAAUUACUGGGCGUAAAGCGUGCGCAGGCGGUUUUGUAAGACAGUGGUGAAACCCCCGGGCUCAACCUGGGAACUGCCAUUGUGACUGCAAGGCUGGAGUGCGGCAGAGGGGGAUGGAAUUCCGCGUGUAGCAGUGAAAUGCGUAGAUAUGCGGAGGAACACCGAUGGCGAAGGCAAUCCCCUGGGCCUGCACUGACGCUCAUGCACGAAAGCGUGGGGAGCAAACAGGAUUAGAUACCCUGGUAGUCCACGCCCUAAACGAUGUCAACUGGUUGUUGGGGAUUUAUUUUCUCAGUAACGAAGCUAACGCGUGAAGUUGACCGCCUGGGGAGUACGGCCGCAAGGUUAAAACUCAAAUGAAUUGACGGGG
rnacentral:rRNA from 1 species